GCUUACGGCCAUACCAGCUGAAGAACGCCCGAUCUCGUCUGAUCUUGGAAGCUAAGAAGGCUUGGGCCUGGUUAGUACUUGGAUGGGAGACUUCCUGGAAUACCGGGUGCUGUAAGCU
ensembl:rRNA 5S_rRNA 5S ribosomal RNA